rnacentral:tRNA from 1 species
AAAUCCGUCGAAUUUUUAAAUNCGUAAGGGUUCAAGUCCCUCUAUCCCCA